rnacentral:rRNA from 1 species
AUGGCCAGGAUCAGGACGGAUCGAUCUCUGCGCCGGCGGCCGCAGCCGUCCCGCGGCGACGACCCGAUGAGCGCCCUCCCCGACGACCUUCUGCUCCUCGUCCUGCGCCGUCUCGACACCCGCUCGGCGCUCCGCACCGCGCUGCUGUCCACGCGCUGGGCCCGCCUCCACCGCGAGCUCCUCCUACUCGACUUCCGGGUCGGCAGCAUGCUCCCACCACGCUACCACAGAUUGGUCCUGCUCCGUCACGACAUAAACAUGCACAGAUCUUAUCUUCGGUACAGAAAGUCUGACCUCUCGCCCAAAAUCAAGAGGUACGAGCGCGGUGCCAUGCGCGCCCUGACCCGCUCCGUCGAGACCUUCUUGGACGACGAAGACAUCCGAGGAGCUCGCGGCAGCGUUAGCAUGCUGAGGCUCGAGUUCUUCAUCACCCACAACCCCGGCUGCAUGAACAGGCUAAUCGCCAGGUCCAUCGACGAUUGGGGGGUCAGAGACCUCGAGGCUGUUGCCAAGCCGAUCAACUUCCGGCAAUCCGUGCACACCUUCCCCGGCCACGGCCUCUGCCACGAUCCUCGCGCGUCGUGCCUGCGGAGCCUCAAGCUUGUAGGCUGCGCGCUCCCGCCGCUGCACGAGUUCGGCGCGCUCACCAUGCUUGUCCUCCAAGACAUUAAGGGAUCGACGCCCACGGCAGCCUACGAGGGCGUGCUCACCUUGUGUCCGCAGCUGCAGGUGCUGCAACUCAAGUCCUGCGAAUUCCCCCUGGAGGACACGGACCUGGUUGUGGACGCCCCCAGCUCGCAGAUCAGGGAGCUCGUCUUCAACAAGUGCAGGUUCGGACAGGUGCGGAUGAGGGCUCUUCCGAACCUCGAGAGCCUAGCCUCCCGGGACACCACGCUGCACUUUGAUCAGUCCGCCUUGUUUCCCUGCCUCAGGCAAUGCAACCACACCACUAGGGUCGGUCUCUUCCUCACAUCAGUAGGACAGCCACGCGUAUACAUUGGGCACCAGCUUGAGCUUGGCUCGUUCCUCGGGCGCACGCCCUACAUAACCAACCUCGUCCUACGGUUCACCGGACCAAGACGAUGGAUCGUGCCGCCGUCUGGCUCCUCGUCGCCCUUGUUGCCCCAGUUGAGGAAACUGCUCGUCGCCGACGUGCCUUCCUCCUGGGAUGUCUCGUGGCCAUGUCUCCUCCUCGAGAUGGCACCAUCCCUCGAGACCCUUCACAUCCAUAUCGCCCCUUGCAAUGAGAGGCCCGGGCAUGUGAUACCCUGGGAGCCCACCGAGCUUCGGCGGCAUCACUUGAAGGAGCUUGUGGUGGCUGGUUUUCAGGGAACGAAGAGGCAGAUUUGCUUUGUGAAGUUUGUCGUGGGAGUGUCGACGUCGUUGCGCCGUGUAGCCUUGUUCAGGAAUGGGCGUGCUGAGGACAAGGGGCACUGGGACUGGGAGAUGGUAACGGAGCAGCACUCAUGGACCAACAGGCAGAAGAACGCUACGCAGAAGAAGAUUAUGGAUGGGGUUUCUUUCUCCCGCCCUCCUCCGCAAUUUGUUUUUGGCUGA